UGUGUGUCCAUAGAUAGAUAGAUAAUCUGUAUAUAUUUAUCUAUGCUAAAUGUAAGUCAAAUGCUCUUUUAUAUUAUUAUCUGUCAAUUGAUAUUUACUUCUCUCAAUAUUUUAAUUAUGUAUAUAUAUAUUUAAUGACGAGAUUUUCUAUUCUCUUUUUUUCUAUUACUCUCUCGGUCCCACACGUCCUCUGCGUGUAUCCAAACACACGAGAAAUUAAUCACAACAAGGAGAGGGUAUUCCCCGGCUGCCUGGGACUGAACCCGCGACCAGCGUGACGGGAGAGCCACUCCUUGCCGAGUCGGCCAAAGAGGUAACCGCCGGGCAGGUGUCUCGGAGCAAGGAGGAGCAGCUUUGGGAGUCUACAGCGGCACCCCACUCAACCCACCACCACCACCACCACCACCACCACCCAUAAUGUGACAGUUAUUAGCACGGAGGAAGUGCCGACUAGUGAGACUGGUUGUGUUUCCGACACUGUGCCACUGUUGACGAGUGCAGUGCCGUGAGUGCCAGUGUUAGUGUGGCACCUCAGACGGAGGGUGAUUCGGCACUCCAGGGUGAUGUCAGAGUGCCAAGUGACGAGCCCAAAACCGAGGAGGAGAAGGAGGAGGAGGAAAACAAAGCUAGUCAAGUGAUCAAACUGGAGGAAAAGGAAGAAGAGGAGGAGAAGAAAGAGGAGGAGGAGGAGAGAGAAACACAGGAACAAAUAGAUGGAGAGAGGAGAGAAGAAGGAAAAAGGAGGAGGAGGAAGAGGAGGAGGAGGAGGAAAAAUUCACCAACUUCACCACCAAACUUUCCACCAAUGAAAGAGGACCCCAAGAUACUGUCAUACAAAUAGUGCCACAGGGGACAGCGGGGGUGGCACAGGGGGCCUCGGGGGUGCCGCAGGGGAGGGGAGAGCUGCCCCCGCCCCUCGACUCGGAGCCUUGACGACACUAGGCCUAAGGGUUUAAAGCCCCGGAUACCCAGCGACCUUGAAAGUGUCCUAGAAAACGAAGCAAGGGAAGCCAAGCUGGAGGGGAAGACAAGAGUAUGGAACGCCUUGUGAUGGGACGGUUAAUGUUCUCUGUUACUACAAGUAUAUAACAAGUAUAGGAAGAGUGACCUGAAAGUUGCGUUACCUUCCAGCCACCGCCACCCAAGACCACGCCCGAGCCCAAGCCCCGACCGCCAGCCCGCCCCAAGGCUCCCUCCAUGGCCUCCUGCAGGGCUUGGGGUGGUCAGGCUCCCCACAGUGCUGCCCCUCGCAGUGCCAGGGCAGUGCCACACCUGUAAGCUGCGGCGCCAUGCCCGGUCUGAGGGCGCCGCUGGACUGUUGGUGUAGCAGUGCUGGGAGGUGCCAUAACACAGGGCACUCCUCACCUCAACAACAGUCUCUUCACCGACAAGUAAUUCUUCACCAACAAGCUUUUCAGCAGCUUGGAGAAAUAGACACUACCAAACGAAGAAGAGGAGGAGGAGGAGGAAGAAGAAGAAGACGAGGAACACAGGAGGAGCCCAUUGAGUGUGCGGUGUCCCGCAGGCAGACCGAGAUGUCCGUUCAAUUCUGCCGAAGGAAAGAAGUCGUGUUAGUCAACUCUGAUGACUUGUACUUUUCUCUGCAAGGGACUGUUCUGUAAGCCAGUCACAGAAGAUGUGAACUGUAUCUGUACUAUGAAGUCUUA